UUUGGAUAGUGAGAAAAACUGAUUAGAGUUCGACAGGAGAAGAGGUUAAAAGCAUGGCUACUUGGCCACUCAUCGUUCUGCUCACAGGAACACUGGUCAAAGUUGCCUUCGCUCAGUCUCGUCAGUAUCACUUUGUGAACACUCAGCUGAACUGGACCCAGGCUCAGAGCUUCUGCAGAUACGCCUACACAGACCUGGCCACCAUAGAAAACACUGCAGACCUCAGUGCAGUUAGCAGCACUGCAU